AUGGUGAAUUGCACAUGGCUGGGAGGAACACUGAGUUUUGCUUCCUUAUGCAUCCCUUCUGAUCCCCUCUUUCUCCAGCAAUAUUUCACUGGUUGCAAUUCUGCAGAGCCUUUGGGUCUGGCUGCCCCCUUGACAUCUGCUGUGUUUGUGAAGAGGGAGCAGGGAACUGGAUCUGAUGUCUCACUUGUGAGUGAAAAGAAAAAUUGUAUUCUGCUCCAAGCCACUGAUCUGUCUGCAGAUGAAGUCACCUACAAGCUGCAAUAACUAACUGGAGUCCCACCUGUCUGAGCUGAGCUUUAUUGUAGAUUUCCUUGUCUUUCGACUCCUUGCGGUGCUGCUGUUUUGAUGGAGUGUGAGAUGUAGACAGUGGUCCAGGUCCUGUCAUGUGCAUGACCAACUGUCCUUGUUUUGUCUGGGAUAUAGCUAAUUUUCUUCAUAGUGACUGGUAGGGUGCUGUGCCUUAGAUUUAAGAUGAGAAUAAUGUUGAUAACACACCAAUGUUCUAGUUGUUGCUGAGCAGUGCUUACGCAGAGCCAAGGACUUCUCAUUUUCCCAUGCUGCCCUGCCAGUGUGGUGCUGGGGGUACACAAGGAGCUGGGAGGGGGCAGAACCAGGAUAGCUGAACUGAAAUGGCCAAAGGGAUAUUCUCUAAUAACAUGAGGAACUUGUUUCUGUUCUUGGAUGUUGCGAUGAUCAGUCUUUUCAAUGUGGCAAUCAGAUGAAAGUAUGUGAUACCUGUGCUGUGUGUACUGCUGGUUUCUGCUUUGGAGAAUCUUAGCCUAUUCACAUUCUUCUGGCAAAAUGGGUUCUGUUUUCACACUGAAAGCUAUUCUUGGUUCUCUCUGUGUAUGUGUGUUAUUUUGACAAGAAUUUCAGCAAAGAUACAUACAAGGAUCAUAGUGAUGGGUACUUUGUAAUGCUUCAGUUUUAGACUUGAGAUUUGGAGCAUUAUCUUUAAAUAUUUUAUUUCAAAUAUCUUGGAACCUUCUUCUAAAAUGGUGUUACUGUUUUCCAACAUUACUAUUCUCUUUCAAUCUGGAGAGACGGUCACUGAUAAAUGUCCUUAAAAAGAUACAAUAUAGCAAUUUGUUCUCAGGCUAUUUUAUUUACUUGUUUCUCAUCAGAUUUUUGGUUUCCUGGACCUUUGAUGGUGAACACCAUGACUUAUUUUGCAUCCCCUCACCUUAUGUCCUGCUUGUGCUGUAAAAUGUGCAUCUUUCAUCUGUGCUAACAGGAACUUCAGUUCUUGGCUGAGAUCCAUAAUCCUAAAACCAGAAGAGGCGUGUUUACUCCUUUUGCUCUUCAGUGUGGUGGCUCUAUUUUUAUUUUCUGUCUAGUUGUUUUUUUGUUUGUUUUUUGUUUGGUUGUUUUUUUUUGCUGAGAGGAGUGUGUAUGUGCAUGUCGUCAUUCUUGGAAAGCUUUUAGACAAGAAGUGUCACAUUCUUCCACAGGGGUGAAAUAUGGAUCUGUAUUCCACCUCUAUAGAGGGCUAAGAGAGCGAUCAGAAAGGUUUCAGGCUUGCAGCAGAGCAAACUCUUGUGUUUCCCAGAGGAAACACUGCCUUGCCAUGUGCUUCAGCCCUGACUGAGAGGUCAAUAACCGUGCCAACUCAAUCGGGCAGAAUCCCGGGGGGGGGGGGGGGGGGGAGCUGCUGUUUGUUACCUUCCCAUCUCCUCCUGUGCUACUUUCUCUCUCCUGUGGUGUUUCCUGUGCUGCUGCUGCUUCUUUUUAUUUAUUUAUUUAUUUAUUUUCAAACUACUCACUGCCUCUUCAAGAAGGGAAGGAAAAUGUUUACUGGCCUGAAUUUUGGUGGUUUAGUUACAUAGGAAAAUUUUGGAAUACGUUGUGUUUUGUUUCCCAAAUAAGAACAGAAGCUUUGUAUUGUUCUUUCACCAACUCAGCAAAAAUUCAAGUAUCAGUACCCAGAGGGAAAAGCGAGUGUGAGUGUGAGCAGCACUGUCGGCACGUGGCCACUGCUUGUGUCGAGCACUGCCAUUUUGUGAGGCAGCCAGGAGGGCAUUGACUGAGGAGCUGUCCAGACCACUCAAGUUCAGCAGCCCUCAGGAUGUUACAGAUGAAUCCGUGGGACACAAUAAAAGCUGAUGUUCUGCCUCCA
rnacentral:lncRNA from 1 species